rnacentral:rRNA from 1 species
GUCUUUUUGAUAAUAAUUUAAAGUCUAAUCUGCCCACUGAUAAAAUAUUAAAGGGCUGCAGUAUAUUGACUGUACAAAGGUAGCAUAAUCAUUAGUUUUUUAAUUGGAAACUUGUAUGAAGGAUUUGAUGAAAUAUAAACUGUCUCUUUAUUAUUAUUAAAAUUUUAUUUUUUAGUAAAAAAGCUAAGAUAAUUUUAAAAGACGAGAAGACCCUAUAGAGUUUUAUAUUUGAAAUUUAUAUUAAUUAUAUUUUAAAAUUAAAAUUAAUAUGAAAUUAAAUAUUUUAUUGGGGUGAUAGAAAAAUUAAAUUAACUUUUUUUAAAGAUUAAACAUAAAUAAAUGAGUAAAUGAUCCAUUAAUAAUGAUUAAAAGAAAAAAUUACCUUAGGGAUAACAGCGUAAUAUUUUUUUUUAGUUCAAAUAAAAAAAAAAGUUUGCGACCUCGAUGUUGGAUUAAGAUAAAAUUUAAAUGCAAAAGUUUAAAAUUUUGAUCUGUUCGAUCAUUAAAAUCUU